CCUAGCACGCCACAUGCACCGGUGUCGGAAGUUUUUCCCUCAGCAGUAUCCGUAGGGACCGGCUCUGGCUCCCCCUGGAGUGGCGCCCGCAUGGCGCGGCAUAAGGUGCGUCGCAGUCUCCCCCCACUCAGUUCUUUCUUGCAUGAAACUCUGACAGUGGGGAAGGAGAGCGGGUCAUGGAAUGGACACGAGCAAAACAUCUUGAAGAAUAUCAGUUACGGAAAAAGUAGCUGUCUUUUCUUCUUCGAGUGCUUGCUCAUGUCCAUUUCAGAUUAGGUGACUCCAAAACAGUACCCCUGAAGAUGGGUGGGAGUUCACGGAUGUGUAGAUUGCAACAUAGCUCUGCCGAACCCAGCGUCAUUCCUGGCCUGCUGAGUGAUGGCAUAACGAGCAGUAAACGUGUGGACAGAGGACCACGUUGCGGCUCUACAGGGAUGUGUGCCAGGAAGGCUGCCAAAGACACCUGAUCUCUUGUCAAGUAGGCUCUGACAAUUGGCGGCAGUGGAACCCCUACCAGGUCGGAACAGGUCCUUAUGCAUGAGGUGAUCCAAUUGGAAAUCUUCUGCGAAGACACUGGAUGAGCCAUCAUCCUAUUGGCUGUAGCAAUGAAGAGUUGAGUCAAUUUAUGGAAAGGCUUGGUACGUUCUAAGUAAAAAGCGAAGGCCCUCUGGAUGCCCAGUGCAUGAAGACCCCUUUCACUGGUCUUGUGCGGUUUGGGACUGAACACCAGGAGAAAGAUGUCCUGGUUCAUAUGGAAGGUGGAGACCACCUUUGACAGGAAGGCUGGGUGGGGCUGCAGCUGAACCUUAUCUUUGUAGAUCAUGUAUGGCAGUUCUGAGGUCAAGGCUUUAAUUUCCAAGACCCCGUCUUGCUGACGUCACCGCCACCAGGAAAGUGACCUUCCAUGACAGAUGGGAAAGGGAGCAGGAACCCAGUGGUUUGAAGGGCAGGCCAGUGAGCCUAGAGAGGACCAAGUUAAGAUCCCACUAUGGGAUGGGAGCCCGCACCUGCGGGAAGAGUCUCUCCAGCCCUCUCAAGAAUCUGACCGUCAUGUCAUGGAAGAACACCAUCUGUCCUUGGAUCAGCAGGUGAAAAGAGGAGAUGGCCGCAAGAUGCACUCUAAUGGAAGUGUGUGCCAGGCCCUGGUUCCUCAAAUGGAGCAGGUAGUCCAGGACAGCCCAUAUGAAGGAACACGAGGGAGAGAUGCCAUUCAGACACCUAGUGGGAAAACCUCCUCCACUUGGCCAGGUAAGUCAGUCUAGUUUCAGGCUUCCUACUUUCCAGGAGGACCCGUUGGACUGCUUCCGAACAGGUCUGCUCCUCCAGGUUCAGCCACACAGCAUCCAUGUGAGAGGUGGAGGGACGUAAGGUUGGGGUGUAAGAGCCAACAGUGGUCCUGCAGCAGCAGGUCCAGUCAUUUGGGCAGGGGCCACUGACAGGUUCAUGAGCAUGCUGAACCAAUGCUGACACGGCCACGCUGUGGCAAUCAUGAUAACCUGCGCCUGGUCUCUCUUGAUCUUUGCCAGGGUCCUGAUGAUGAGUGGAAUCGGAGGAAACGCAUACAUCAGGCUCCCUGACCAUGACAGGAAGAAGGCAUUGGGGAGGGAGCCCUUGCUCAGAGCCUGUUGAGAACAAAACCGGUGCCAUUUCCUGUUCUGGCUGGUAGUGAACAGGUUCAUUUGGGGAGUAUCCCACCUUUGGAAGAUCAUGAAGGCUACCUCUGGAUGGAGUGACCACUCGUGGAGAGAGAAGUCUCUGCUGAGCUGGUCUGCCAGUGUAUUCCUGAGGCUGGGAAGGUGUCAAGCUUCCAGGUGGAUUUCGUGGCUGAUGCAGAAGUCCCACAGACAGAGCACCUCCUGCCAGAGAGCCAACAAGUGCGCUUCCCCUUGCCUGUUGAUGUAGAACACUGAGGCUGUGCUGUUCAUCGGGACUCUUACCACCUUGCCCGACAGGUGGGGCAAGAAGACUGCAUGCCAUCCAGACUGCUCGGAGCUCUUCGAGGUUUAUGUGUAACUGUGCCUCCUCUGGGGACCACAUCCCCUGUGUCUGGAGGUUGCCGAGAUGUGCCCCCGAACCGAGGUCUGAGGUGUCCAAAACCAACGCGAUGGAGUGAGAAGGGUUGUCAAAUGGAACCCCUUCCAGGACUGUCCUGCGGCCGGUCCACCAUUGCAGCGAGUAGGCCCAGAGAGCGGCACAUGGCUUGAAGCACUGCAACAUCCCUUCGGACUUGAGACUUGGAACCGCCCUUGAUGAGCCAGUCAUCGAGGUACAGGUAGAUCUGGAUACCCUGGCACCUGAGGGCCCCACCACUGAAGAGCAGAUCCUGCAAUGACUUUUGGGCCUCGGUGGACAACCCAGAGAGGAGCUGCCAAGAGACUCGCCGCAUGGAGAUAGUGGAAGCCAUAGUACAGGCAGCAGUCGAGUCCUCAUCAAGGAUCACUCAGAACUCCUCCUUGGAAGCCUCAGGGAGCGACCCUUUGAACUUGGCCACGGCUUGCCACAUAUUGAAGUCAUAUUGGCCAAGGAGGGCUUGGUGAUUGGCUACUCUCAGCUGAAGGCUGGAAGAUUAAUAAGCCUUUCGACCGAAAAGAUCCAGCUUCCAUGAGUCUUUAUUUUUGGGGGUGGCCCCGGGUUGUCCCUGCCUCCUCUUGUGAUCCACCACCUCAACCACAAGAGAAUUGGGGGCUGGGUGGGAGUAUAGGUACUCACGCCCUUUGGUUGGCAUGAAGUACUUAUGUUCGGCCCUUUUAGAGAUGGGCCAAGGAAAAGGUGGCCUGGCACAGGGCAUUAGUGAUUUUGGAGACCCCCUUCAUGAAGGGGUAGGACCACCCUGGUGGGAGCCGAAGAACAUAGGACAUCAAACAGAAUCCGAGGGCUCUUCCAAUUCCUCUGCCUGAAGCACCAGGUUAGAAGCAACCCUCUUCAAAAGUUCCUGGUGUGCUCUGGUGUUAUCCUGAGGAACCAAGUGAGGGGGCCCUGUGAUAGCCUCAUCUGGUGCCGAUGAGGAUGAUGCUGGUGCUGCGGGAACCUCCAUGUCCAUUGGUGGUCUAGCAGCUUGGUCCCCUGGGUCUUCCUGGACCUGCAAGGUCUUAUCCCCUGAAGCCUCGAGCACCAGAGGGGGAUGGGAUACUGAGGCCACUGGCCUCUCCGAGGCUCCCAACACUGAUCGGGCAGCCUGGGAAGGUUGGGCGAACCCCCAGGGAUUCCACGGGUAUCAUGGUGCCGGCCACUGCACUUAGGGCCAUGGGGCAGGUUUCGGUGCUGAUAAUGUAGUCGGCACUGCCAGUACUGGGGCUUGACCUGCAGUCAGGGAACCUCACUCUGAGCCAAAGCUACCAGCAGAGUAGUCAGUACCGGGUGACCAGGAUUGGGGUGAGCGGUGGUUCUUGUCUGACCGGUGCUGGUGCUGCAUCCUGAAGCCAACCUGUCUGAGUGAGAUUGUCUUGGUUGGGCUCUCGGGGACCAACAGCAUUCGGCAGAUCUGCAUCUGAUACCUGGUGAUCCACACCUCACGCUAGUUGACCGGUACCAGGACGUCAAACGGGAGCGGGAGUUACUAUGGGCCGGUUGCCAGGAGGAUCAUCCUGAGUAGGGCCAUCUCCUUCUUGGAGACGGGCGAUGAUGGCCCAGCGAUCGGUGAUCUCUGGUGUCUGAUUGGUCCCAGGAUCAGUACCAGGCCCUUGGAGAUAGUCAGGGCCAGUCCCGAAGUUCUUGCUGGGUGGUGCGUGCCCCAGAGGGUCUGCGCCAUUCCACCAGCGAGGUACACCUUGAGUCUCUUGAUCGGUGUCCCUGAUGCGGGCUCAGCUUAUUUAUGUCACCUGAAAGUGAGUACAGGUGUUCGCAUUGCACUGUUGUAGCUGCCAUUGCAAGGUAUUUACAUGCCAGAUAUGCUAAACAUUCAUAUGCCCCUUCAUGCUU